UACGAAGGGGGCUAGCGUUGCUCGGAUUGACUGGGCGUAAAGGGCGCGUAGGCGGUUCGUACAGUCAGACGUGAAAUUCCUGGGCUCAACCUGGGGGCUGCGUUUGAUACGUGCGGACUUGAGUGCGGAAGAGGGUCGUGGAAUUCCCGGUGUAGAGGUGAAAUUCGUAGAUAUUGGGAAGAACACCGGUGGCGAAGGCGGCGACCUGGUCCGAUACUGACGCUGAGGCGCGAAAGCGUGGGGAGCAAACAGG
rnacentral:rRNA from 1 species